rnacentral:lncRNA from 1 species
CCGGGAUUAGUCCAAACAAAAAGAUUAACGUUACACAGCAACUCUUCGUAUCCAACGGUGCUACGGGAAAGGGCUUGUAUGUAUAGAAUUACAAAGUGGUAGACUUGGUAUGAAAUUUCGUGGCCACACGUACCUAUGAACCUGUGUGGGAGCUUCCACUCUCGGCACCUUUGACAACUCCAAUCUUAAUUGAAUGCACCCCUUCUUGUUCUCUUCUUGAUGCAAGAAAAAGAACAACUGCAAGAACUAUAUUUUGCAUCCUCAGAGUGUUUUGUGAAGUUAAUGAAUUGAUAGAAAAAAUUCUAAUGAAAGGAAACGGCCCUAUAUACUUCCUUGCGCAUAGAUCAUUUUUGCCCCAUGCUAUUGAGUAUGAUAUUAAGUUGAUCCCAAAUGCUGUAAUUGCAGUCUUUGUACUCUCUUCUUGUAAGCUAAUCAUAUCUGUAAAAUUUCUCCCUUCUUUCAGUUUUCUUGUAUCCACUCUUUCUCCUAUACCAAUUCACCUUUCUAAUAUUUGUAUUGGAUUGACUUUGAACCUUUGUUUUCUGAAUUAUGUUGGUCAAGCUUUGCUCCCUCCAGUCAAAAAAAAAAAAGAAAAAGAAAAUCACAAAUACUAGACUCCUGGAUUCUUUUAUCAUGACUCACAUCUAUUAGGAGGUAACUAAUGCGGUGAGUCAGACUGCAUCUUAUAUAGCCAAUCAUACAAGAGUUACCUUUUGGGAUCCACCACACGUCUCUCCCUUCUUCUUUUUUUUGGUUAAAAUCUCUCCCUUCUUCUCUAAUGAAAAUUUUGUAUACUGAUUCUAGUGAAUGUAUUUAUAAUUUUAUAAUAAAAAUAGGAGCUGGCAUGUUGGAAGCUGCUCGAGAUGAUGCUCUUACUUCUUUUUUUUAAUAAUUUGUCAGUGCUUCAUCCUCAUUGAUGCUUAUUGUCACCUAAGAUAAUAUAACCCAAAAUUAUUAUUUUAUUUUUAUAUAUUAUUAUUAUUUUAUUAUUAUAUAUAUAUAUAUUAUUGUUAUUCUAAUUAUGCGAAAGCUAACUUAGCUACCCAUUUUCAUGAUUAAUCUUAAAGUUUUUAACCAUGGUUAAACUUAUAGCUCUGAUACCAUUGAAUGUCGCCCUGGAUCAGGAGUAUCAGAGAAGCCGGAGCAAGGAUUGUUGUAGUCCAUUCCUGGAGCACGGUAAGCCCUGAUCAUGUUACUUUUUCCCUAUUUUUCUUCUUUCUAGUUUCCGAAAUGAAAUAGAGGGGAGACUCCAUGGCUCUCGGCCGUGGCCGCAGCCGCUGCUGGCUCUCGGUGGGGGCUGCAGUCAAGCCAGAGUCCUGUCCCCUUCCUUCUCUUCAGUGGGGCAGGGUGCCUCAGUGCAAAGAAGAAGGGAGACGGAAAGAAAAGAAAGAAAGAAAGAAGGAAAGAAGGAAAGAAAGAAGAAAAGAGGAAGAGGGGACUCACGGUUCGUCGUCGCGUGUGGCGACCGCCGGCUUCGGCCGCGAAAGUCGCCGGCGUGGGCAUAUGCCGCAAACCGGCCGAGGACGCUAGCGUCGAGCGUCGGCCGCAGGCGCAGCCGAGGGCAUCACGGGCCCGUCCGUGGGCACCAUCGGCCGUGGCCCGGCCCCUCCCGAGUUCACACUUCUCUCUUCGCGGGAGAAGAAAGGGGGAAGGAAGAGAGGAGUCGGGAGAAG